AGAGUUUGAUCAUGGCUCAGGACGAACGCUGGCGGCGUGCCUAAUACAUGCAAGUCGAGCGGGGGUGGUGAGGUAGCUUGCUAUUGAGCCACCCUAGCGGCGGACGGGUGAGUAACGCGUGGGCAACCUACCCUGUAGGCUGGGAUAACAGGUCGAAAGGCCUGCUAAUACCGGAUGAGCUCGCGGGGUCGCAUGGCCUUGUGAGGAAAGGGGAGACCCGCUACGGGAUGGGCCCGCGUCCCAUUAGCUAGUUGGUGAGGUAACGGCUCACCAAGGCGACGAUGGGUAGCCGGCCUGAGAGGGCGACCGGCCACACUGGAACUGAGACACGGUCCAGACUCCUACGGGGGGCAGCAGUAGGGAAUCUUCGGCAAUGGGCGAAAGCCUGACCGAGCGACGCCGCGUGAGGGAAGAAGGUCUUCGGAUUGUAAACCUCUGUCUAGGGGGACGAGGAAGGACGGUACCCCUGGAGGAAGCCCCGGCUAACUACGUGCCAGCAGCCGCGGUAAUACGUAGGGGGCGAGCGUUGUCCGGAAUUACUGGGCGUAAAGGGCGCGCAGGCGGCCAUGUAAGUCAGGUGUGAAAGGCCGAGGCUCAACUUCGGUUAGACGUCUGAUACUGCGUGGCUUGAGGGCAAGAGAGGGAAGUGGAAUUCCCGGUGUAGCGGUGAAAUGCGUAGAUAUCGGGAGGAACACCAGUGGCGAAGGCGGCUUCCUGGAUUGUACCUGACGCUCAUGCGCGAAAGCUGGGGGGAGCGAACGGGGAUUAGAUACCCCGGUAGUCCCAGCCGUAAACGAUGGAUGCUAGGUGUAGGAGGUAUCGACCCCUCCUGUGCCGCAGCUAACGCAUUAAGCAUCCCGCCUGGGGGAGUACGGCCGGCAAGGUUGAAACUCAAAUGAAUUGACGG
rnacentral:rRNA from 1 species